GCUCUCAAGGUCAGUGUACUCAGGUCCGGGUUGAAUUUAUUGACGAUAGUAACCGAUCAAUUAUUCGAAAUGUUAAAGGACCUGUCCGAGAGGGAGACAUCUUAACUCUCUUAGAAUCUGAAAGAGAAGCUAGAAGAUUACGAUGAGGGCUCCGGUCAAGUUUAUUUUAUUUGGAGAAUGGAAAUAAAUUUGUGAUUGGAAGCUAAA